AUGGCUCAGGAUGAACGCUAGCGGCAGGCUUAACACAUGCAAGUCGAGGGGCAUCGGGAGUAGCAAUACUUGCCGGCGACCGGCGCAAGGGUGCGUAACGCGUGAGCAACAUGCCCGUAUCAGGGGGAUAAUCCAUGGAAACGUGGUCUAAUACCCCAUAGUAAUUAUGUAAGGCAUCUUAUAUAAUUUAAAGCUUUGGUGGAUACGGAUUGGCUCGCGUGACAUUAGCUGGAUGGUAAGGCAACGGCUUACCAUGGCUACGAUGUCUAGGGGUUCUGAGAGGAAGGUCCCCCCACACUGGAACUGAGACACGGUCCAGACUCCUACGGGAGGCAGCAGUGAGGAAUAUUGGACAAUGGAUGGAAAUCUGAUCCAGCCAUGCCGCGUGCAAGGAAGACGGCCCUAUGGGUUGUAAACUGCUUUUGUAUGGGAGCAAUAAGGGCUACGUGUAGUCCGAUGAGAGUACCAUACGAAUAAGCACCGGCUAACUCCGUGCCAGCCGCAGC
rnacentral:rRNA from 1 species